GGGUCGGUGGCCGAGUGGUCAAAGGCAACAGACUGUAAAUCUGUCGGGGCAACCCUACGGUGGUUCAAGUCCAUCCCGGCCCACAA
rnacentral:tRNA from 1 species